AGCGAACGCUGGCGGCAGGCUUAACACACGCAAGUCGAGCGGGCAUAGCAAUAUGUCAGCGGCAGACGGGUGAGUAACGCGUGGGAACGUACCUUUUGGUUCGGAACAACACAGGGAAACUUGUGCUAAUACCGGAUAAGCCCUUACGGGGAAAGAUUUAUCGCCGAAAGAUCGGCCCGCGUCUGAUUAGCUAGUUGGUGUGGUAAUGGCUCACCAAGGCGACGAUCAGUAGCUGGUCUGAGAGGAUGAUCAGCCACAUUGGGACUGAGACACGGCCCAAACUCCUACGGGAGGCAGCAGUGGGGAAUAUUGGACAAUGGGCGCAAGCCUGAUCCAGCCAUGCCGCGUGAGUGAUGAAGGCCCUAGGGUUGUAAAGCUCUUUUGUGCGGGAAGAUAAUGACGGUACCGCAAGAAUAAGCCCCGGCUAACUUCGUGCCAGCCGCCGCAGUAA
rnacentral:rRNA from 1 species